UUAGAUGGGAUCCAAGGACCAGUCUAUGUAGGAACAGGGUGUGUCUUUAACAGGCAAGCUUUGUACGGCUAUGAUCCACCAGCGUCUGAAAAGAGGCCUAAAAUGACUUGUGAUUGCUGGCCUUCAUGGUGCUGCUGUUGCUUUGGUCGUUCAAAGAAAUCAAAAUCUAAGAAGAAGGGCCAGAGAAGCCUACUCGGAGGAACUGCUUCUAAGAAGNNNNNNNNNNNNNNNNNNNNNNNNNNUGAUUGUAGAUUAACAUGAAAGGCUUAGAUGGGAUCCAAGGACCAGUCUAUGUAGGAACAGGGUGUGUCUUUAACAGGCAAGCUUUGUACGGCUAUGAUCCACCAGCGUCUGAAAAGAGGCCUAAAAUGACUUGUGAUUGCUGGCCUUCUUGGUGCUGCUGUUGCUUUGGUCGUUCAAAGAAAUCAAAAUCUAAGAAGAAGGGCCAGAGAAGCCUACUUGGAGGACUUGUUUCACAGAAGAAGAAAAUGGGAGGGAAGCGCUACAGCAAGAAAAGUGCUAUCCCAGCUUUCGAACUCGAAGAGAUCGAAGAAGGACUUGAAGGGUACGAAGAAUUGGAGAAAUCAUCACUAAUGUCUCAGAAGAACUUUGAGAAACGGUUUGGUCAAUCCCCAGUUUUCAUUGCUUCCACCUUGAUGGAAGCAGGUGGCUUGCCUGAAGGAACUACUUCUUCAUCUCUCAUCAAGGAGGCCAUUCAUGUCAUCAGUUGUGGGUACGAAGAGAAAACAGAUUGGGGCA
rnacentral:lncRNA from 1 species